CGAAGGUUACUAUUGGCUCCCCUGUAGCCGCCGCUAUACAUCAAAAAAUGGGGUUAGUUCCUAAUAUACACUAAGGUUUAUGAUUCCUAAGGGAAUCACAGUAGCUCUAAGCUACACCUCGAACAGGUACACCCAAAGAAAAGAUCCUCCUCCGUGUCGGGAACCGGUGGGGACGAUGGUCCAGCUACGUGAGAUGGGGAAGUACAGGUGGGUGAAGGAAUCUGGGCGUCAUCCCUCAUCAUCAUACAUGUGGCCACGUAAUGCCCAUACUCUCCACAGUAGAGACAAGUAAUGGCCAUGGGCAUGUACGGCGUGUAAAACGGACACUCCUGUGGGUAGUGCCCGUCCUCGCCGCAGACGAAACAAAACGGUAUCUGUAUACCUGAUGUGGAGCCCCCGUCAAACGUCGGAAUAGCAUCAGCCCUCAUGUUGGCUGCAAAACGGAGAAUGGGGACGUGCCCUCCCAUAGAAGUGCGAAAGAGCUAUCGGGAGAGUGAUCGACAGCCUCCAGAACAUAUGGCGAGACCGGUGGAUCCUCGUCCAUCUCCGGAUCUGACUCAUACGGGCUGAGUACAAAGGAUGGUGUAGCAGAACUGCUCGAGGAAACACUAACGUAGUCAUGAACCAUCACGAUCUCGUUUCCCUCCGGAGCCAGCUCCUGCUCCACCGUCCUCACUCCCGUAAUCACACAGUCAUCCUCACCAUCCGAAUCAAUCAUCAUCCCAUGCCCUCUCUGCACAUCCUCCCACUCUACAAUGGCAGCUAUCUCUGCAAGACUAAAAUCAGCAACCGUGUCGCUCGAUCCAGUCUCCGAUAUAACUCGGGAACACUCGGCCACAUCCCUCCUCACACACCUACCCCGACUCUCUCACGAAGGUCAUAACGCCUGGACGGCAGACCCGAGGACCGUCCCUCCUCCACAGACUCCCAACGACGUGAUCUCUUUUGCGGCAUACUAUAAUACAAACAAAAAGGUUAAGACACGAAAAUACAAGCAAAAGGGUAAGCAUCCUAUAAUACUAACAACAAAGGUAAGCCAACCUAAACAAAAAGGG
rnacentral:sRNA from 1 species